rnacentral:tRNA from 1 species
GGGGAUGUAACUCAGUGGUAGAGUGCUUGCCUAACAGGCACAAGGCCGUGGGUACCAUCCCUA